GGCCUGUAGGGUUUUUGCAACCGGGCGGGGGUCUCCGGCUGUGCUCCACUGGCGUUUGCGGCAGGCCGGUGACCUACCAGGGCAGCAACUGAAGUGACGGUGUACCUCAGGCGGAGCCGCGGAGGACUUGCCCAGCUGUCUGGAGCCAGUAUCCUGUGCUUUCACAUCUUGAGUUUCCUCAGAGCUCACCUUAAGGAGUGGCUGCAGUCUGAAGUCUUCUAGAUGACUCAAACUGAAACAUCAGAUCUUCCUGGGUCUUGAGCCUGCCAGCCUUCAGAUUGGAACUACACCAUUGGCUCUCCUGGGUCUCCAGUUUGCCAGUUCAUCCUGCAGAUCAUGGGAUUUGUCAGCCUCCAUAAUAGGUUCCUCGACCAGGGAUUUCGGCAGUGACAGCACAGAGCCCUAACCAAUGGGCCACCAGGAAAUUCCCUCCUGUAGCCUUGAAAACUAGAAUUCUUGGUAUGGAAAAAAGGAGCUAGAGAAGACAGAUCAGGCUAUCAUCACAUGAAAAUGGAAGGAGCCUAGGACCUGAAAUGGGCAGUAAAGGAGAGCCGUCCAACCAAGAAUACCUGUGCUCCUGUGUAAGUGAAAAAUAAAUCUUU